rnacentral:rRNA from 1 species
UGACUGCGUACCUUUUGUAUAAUGGGUCAGCGACUUAUAUUCUGUAGCAAGGUUAACCGAAUAGGGGAGCCGGAGGGAAACCGAGUCUUAAUUGGGCGUUAAGUUGCAGGGUAUAGACCCGAAACCCGGUGAUCUAGCCAUGGGCAGGUUGAAGGUUGGGUAACACUAACUGGAGGACCGAACCGACUAAUGUUGAAAAAUUAGCGGAUGACCUGUGGCUGGGGGUGAAAGGCCAAUCAAACCGGGAGAUAGCUGGUUCUCCCCGAAAGCUAUUUAGGUAGCGCCUCGUGAAUUCAUCUCCGGGGGUAGAGCACUGUUUCGGCUAGGGGGCCAUCCCGGCUUACCAACCCGAUGCAAACUGCGAAUACCGGAGAAUGUUAUCACGGGAGACACACGGCGGGUGCUAACGUCCGUCGUGAAGAGGGAAACAACCCAGACCGCCAGCUAAGGUCCCAAAGUCAUGGUUAAGUGGGAAACGAUGUGGGAAGGCCCAGACAGCCAGGAUGUUGGCUUAGAAGCAGCCAUCAUUUAAAGAAAGCGUAAUAGCUCACUGGUCGAGUCGGCCUGCGCGGAAGAUGUAACGGGGCUAAACCAUGCACCGAAGCUGCGGCAGCGAACGUAUCACUUAAAGCGAUUCAGCGGGUUACGAUUGACGGAGCGAAGCGACGUCAAAGCGUAUACAAAGUCGAGUCGGUUUAAGGAUACGUUCGUUGGGUAGGGGAGCGUUCUGUAAGCCUGUGAAGGUGGCCUGUGAGGGUUGCUGGAGGUAUCAGAAGUGCGAAUGCUGACAUAAGUAACGAUAAAGCGGGUGAAAAGCCCGCUCGCCGGAAGACCAAGGGUUCCUGUCCAACGUUAAUCGGGGCAGGGUGAGUCGACCCCUAAGGCGAGGCCGAAAGGCGUAGUCGAUGGGAAACGGGUUAAUAUUCCCGUACUUGGUGUUACUGCGAAGGGGGGACGGAGAAGGCUAUGUUGGCCGGGCGACGGUUGUCCCGGUUUAAGCGUGUAGGUGUGUGUUCCAGGUAAAUCCGGUUCACUUUAACACUGAGGCGUGAUGACGAGGCACUACGGUGCUGAAGCAACAAAUGCCCUGCUUCCAGGAAAAGCCUCUAAGCAUCAGGUAACAUCAAAUCGUACCCCAAACCGACACAGGUGGUCAGGUAGAGAAUACCAAGGCGCUUGAGAGAACUCGGGUGAAGGAACUAGGCAAAAUGGUGCCGUAACUUCGGGAGAAGGCACG